UACGCUGCAGCAGCUGCGGCCUAUGGGGCUUACCCUGUGUAUGGCAGCCACCAACAACAAGUAAGCUGAGGUAACUGCACGGGAGAGAAUACGUAUAGCUCUAGAAAUUUAAACGUUAUCACGCUAGAAAGGGCAAAUGUGCCUGAUCUUCGGUAGUCUCUUGGUUCUGUAGUAAUUCUUAUAAAAUCCCGUCCAUUGUGGAGCGGAAUUGAAUUUUGACGACCUGAGGUAGUUUCUAGGGAUUGGAUUUAUUAUUUGUCUAGAACUAAGGGUGUUAAUGAG
rnacentral:lncRNA from 1 species